CCUUGUCAUCUUUGCCAUAUUUCUAAACAAAAACGCAUACCUAAUCCCCAUAGUAUUACUCAAUCUAUUAAACCUUUUGAUCUUCUUCAUGCUGACAUUUGGGGUCCUUAUGUUACCCCUUCCAUAUGUAAUCAACGAUAUUUUCUAACUCUUGUUGAUAAUUUCUCUAGGUUUACUUGGGUUAUUUUUAUGACCCAUAAAAGUGAAACAAGGUCUCAUUUGAUGCAUUUUAUCGCCUUUAUUCACACACGGUUUUCUACUAUUUUAAAAUGUUUACGUACUGACAACGACCCUGAAUUUUGGAUGACUGGUUUUUACAAAUCCAAAGGGAUCUUACACCAAAAGUUUUAUGUUGAAUAUCCUCAACAAAAUGACAUUGUUGAAUGCAAACAUCAACAUAUCCUUAAUGUGGCAAGAUCUAUUUUAUUUCAAUCUCAUAGUCCUCAAUUUAUGGCAUUUAUCUAUUGCUCAUGCUAUACAUCUCAUUAAUCGACUCCCUUUCCCUAUUAUUAAUCAUAAAACUCCUUAUUCUUUUUUAUAUAACAAAUUGCCUGACUAUAAUAAUUUGAAAUGCUUUGGCUGCCUUGUGUAUGCCUCCACUCUUUCUCAUAAUCGUAACAAAUUUUCUCCUAGGUCUCGCAAUUGUGUGUUUUUAGGUUAUAAAGAGGGAACCAAAGGCUAUCUCUUGUAUGAUUUAACCACUAACUGUCUUUUUGUUUCAACCUUUCAUGAAAACUCGUUUCCCUUUAAAAACCCUCAUGAUCACCUUAAUAUCCCUCCCAUAUCCAUCAUACCCUUAUAUACCUUGAACCUUUCAAUCCACCUUCUCCUCCUCCUGAACCUAACCCUCAU